rnacentral:lncRNA from 1 species
AAUCACCCCAAGGUGGCCGGCCUUUGUGUAGUUCUUAGAGAGAUAUUCUUUUGCCUCUUUGUUGUUUUUAACCACACAAAAACCCUAAUGAACAAUAUCUUAUAAAGUUCCUUAUAUAGACAAAAGAAACCUAGCCAACAACUUGACUAAAUAUCUCAUCCUUUCCACACCUAAAAUGGCCGGCCCUUUAGUGUUUGGUUUGGGCUUUGGGCUUUUAUUAUUUCAAGUCAUCCAAUGCUUGAAUAAAAGCCCAAUGGGUUUAGGCCCAAUGG